ACCCGGUUUACCGCUUCGCUACUGAAUUAUUCAUAUCAAUGAAUAUAUUUUUUAAAUACAAAAAAAACAGAAGAAAUUCUUUGAACAAGGGAAGGUGUGACGAUACGACUUAUUCUGGAAUUCCACAUUUAAUGUGAGAUAAUCCAAAUAUAAUAGUGAAUAUCCAUGAUCAUUUGUCUCGUUGAUACUUCAGUCCUUUCACGUGCUUCAUGACCUUGACGAUUGCUUCUUUUAUUAUCCGUCGAACAUGAUGGAAAUAUAAUAAUAAAUCCGCUGUUUUCAAUCACAUGUAACAUUUGAGUUUUGGGGAUGCAGAAGCUAUCGUUCGACGCGAUAUAGCGUGGAACUGAUAUGAGUUAUCGGAGAGCAAACAGAAUUAUAAUAAUGAGCUCAUGUUAAGGCCUUCGAUUAACCGCUUGCGGCAGUUUUGCUGAAACUGUCGCAGAGAGUUCAACAUUUCUACAACAUGACGCUAUUGAGAGUGAUUUUUGUAGUAUUGAUCGUUGCCUCCAUUGCGGAGUCAGGGGUAUUGGCGAUAGGUGAAAUAUCGGUGAGAGAAUUUGAGAGGCUCACGAGGGAAUGCCAAGAUACGUGUUACAGACAAAAACAAAAUCCUGCUUAUUUGACUGGCUCUUACCUCGACUUGGAGAAGCACUACUGUCUUUGCCGCCAAGGAUAAUGGUAAUCCAUCCGAAGAUUUGAAGUGCUACUAUUCUUGCCGAAACUGUCUCUCUUUAGUGUUAGGUUCAACUGAAUUUGAAUGAUUUGAAAUAUGUGAAACAAUGUGACCGGAAUUUAUCCAAAAUAUAAUAAAAUAUUCCAAUCUCCUGUUUAAGGAAUUUCAAGGGACUUUUUCAGUAAAAAUUCACAAUUUGGCAAAUUUCAGUUCAUUUGUUCCGCAAAAAUUGGUAUAAAUCAGGAAAAUUCAGGUGAAUAUGUUCUUGAAUUUUCAGAUGAUUGAAAUUUCAACGCAAUUUUAUACAGAAUAUUUUUUUAUGAUAAUAUAAGACAAUUCUUUUGAGAAUUACAAUGCAGAAUUUGGAAUUUUCCACUAUCUGCAAAAACAGUGAAAUAUAAUGGAAUUCUCAGUGAAA